CCGAGUUUACAACUCCCAAACCCCUGUGAACAUACCUUUAUGUUGCCUCGGCGGAUCAGCCCGCGCCCCGUAAAACGGGACGGCCCGCCGCAGGAAACCCUAAACUCUGUUUUUAGUGGAACUUCUGAGUAUAAAAAACAAAUAAAUAA
rnacentral:misc_RNA from 1 species